CGUGAGGGAAAGGCGAAAAGAACCCCGGCGAGGGGAGUGAAAAAGAACCUGAAACCGUGUACGUACAAGCAGUGGGAGCACGCUUAGGCGUGUGACUGCGUACCUUUUGUAUAAUGGGUCAGCGACUUAUAUUCUGUAGCAAGGUUAACCGAAUAGGGGAGCCGAAGGGAAACCGAGUCUUAACUGGGCGUUAAGUUGCAGGGUAUAGACCCGAAACCCGGUGAUCUAGCCAUGGGCAGGUUGAAGGUUGGGUAACACUAACUGGAGGACCGAACCGACUAAUGUUGAAAAAUUAGCGGAUGACUUGUGGCUGGGGGUGAAAGGCCAAUCAAACCGGGAGAUAGCUGGUUCUCCCCGAAAGCUAUUUAGGUAGCGCCUCGUGAAUUCAUCUCCGGGGGUAGAGCACUGUUUCGGCAAGGGGGUCAUCCCGACUUACCAACCCGAUGCAAACUGCGAAUACCGGAGAAUGUUAUCACGGGAGACACACGGCGGGUGCUAACGUCCGUCGUGAAGAGGGAAACAACCCAGACCGCCAGCUAAGGUCCCAAAGUCAUGGUUAAGUGGGAAACGAUGUGGGAAGGCCCAGACAGCCAGGAUGUUGGCUUAGAAGCAGCCAUCAUUUAAAGAAAGCGUAAUAGCUCACUGGUCGAGUCGGCCUGCGCGGAAGAUGUAACGGGGCUAAACCAUGCACCGAAGCUGCGGCAGCGACGCUUAUGCGUUGUUGGGUAGGGGAGCGUUCUGUAAGCCUGUGAAGGUGUGCUGUGAGGCAUGCUGGAGGUAUCAGAAGUGCGAAUGCUGACAUAAGUAACGAUAAAGCGGGUGAAAAGCCCGCUCGCCGGAAGACCAAGGGUUCCUGUCCAACGUUAAUCGGGGCAGGGUGAGUCGACCCCUAAGGCGAGGCCGAAAGGCGUAGUCGAUGGGAAACAGGUUAAUAUUCCUGUACUUGGUGUUACUGCGAAGGGGGGACGGAGAAGGCUAUGUUGGCCGGGCGACGGUUGUCCCGGUUUAAGCGUGUAGGCUGGUUUUCCAGGCAAAUCCGGAAAAUCAAGGCUGAGGCGUGAUGACGAGGCACUACGGUGCUGAAGCAACAAAUGCCCUGCUUCCAGGAAAAGCCUCUAAGCAUCAGGUAACAUCAAAUCGUACCCCAAACCGACACAGGUGGUCAGGUAGAGAAUACCAAGGCGCUUGAGAGAACUCGGGUGAAGGAACUAGGCAAAAUGGUGCCGUAACUUCGGGAGAAGGCACGCUGAUAUGUAGGUGAAGUCCCUCGCGGAUGGAGCUGAAAUCAGUCGAAGAUACCAGCUGGCUGCAACUGUUUAUUAAAAACACAGCACUGUGCAAACACGAAAGUGGACGUAUACGGUGUGACGCCUGCCCGGUGCCGGAAGGUUAAUUGAUGGGGUCAGCGCAAGCGAAGCUCUUGAUCGAAGCCCCGGUAAACGGCGGCCGUAACUAUAACGGUCCUAAGGUAGCGAAAUUCCUUGUCGGGUAAGUUCCGACCUGCACGAAUGGCGUAAUGAUGGCCAGGCUGUCUCCACCCGAGACUCAGUGAAAUUGAACUCGCUGUGAAGAUGCAGUGUACCCGCGGCAAGACGGAAAGACCCCGUGAACCUUUACUAUAGCUUGACACUGAACAUUGAGCCUUGAUGUGUAGGAUAGGUGGGAGGCUUUGAAGUGUGGACGCCAGUCUGCAUGGAGCCGACCUUGAAAUACCACCCUUUAAUGUUUGAUGUUCUAACGUUGACCCGUGAUCCGGGUUGCGGACAGUGUCUGGUGGGUAGUUUGACUGGGGCGGUCUCCUCCUAAAGAGUAACGGAGGAGCACGAAGGUUGGCUAAUCCUGGUCGGACAUCAGGAGGUUAGUGCAAUGGCAUAAGCCAGCUUGACUGCGAGCGUGACGGCGCGAGCAGGUGCGAAAGCAGGUCAUAGUGAUCCGGUGGUUCUGAAUGGAAGGGCCAUCGCUCAACGGAUAAAAGGUACUCCGGGGAUAACAGGCUGAUACCGCCCAAGAGUUCAUAUCGACGGCGGUGUUUGGCACCUCGAUGUCGGCUCAUCACAUCCUGGGGCUGAAGUAGGUCCCAAGGGUAUGGCUGUUCGCCAUUUAAAGUGGUACGCGAGCUGGGUUUAGAACGUCGUGAGACAGUUCGGUCCCUAUCUGCCGUGGGCGCUGGAGAACUGAGGGGGGCUGCUCCUAGUACGAGAGGACCGGAGUGGACGCAUCACUGGUGUUCGGGUUGUCAUGCCAAUGGCACUGCCCGGUAGCUAAAUGCGGAAGAGAUAAGUGCUGAAAGCAUCUAAGCACGAAACUUGCC
rnacentral:rRNA from 1 species